rnacentral:rRNA from 1 species
UACGUAGGGGGCUAGCGUUGCUCGGAAUCACUGGGCGUAAAGCGCACGUAGGCGGCUUGUUAAGUCAGGGGUGAAAUCCUGGAGCUCAACUCCAGAACUGCCUUUGAUACUGGCGAGCUUGAGUUCGGGAGAGGUGAGUGGAACUGCGAGUGUAGAGGUGAAAUUCGUAGAUAUUCGCAAGAACACCAGUGGCGAAGGCGGCUCACUGGCCCGAUACUGACGCUGAGGCACGAAAGCGUGGGGAGCAAACAGGG